UUCACCGCCCAGGCCGAUCCCCACACCACUCAAAAUCAGACCACACUGCCAUGCCUAGGCCGAUCCCACCGCUGCUCCACCGUUCAUCCAUAUCCAUCUCCGGCCACAAGGUACCUCGCAAUCUCCAGCUCAGACCACCCAUCUCCUACAAGCGGAUACAUCAAAAGGCCACGAAAGACUCAAGCUCUGGGAAAAGCUUCUCCAGAAACUUGCACAAAGGUAUACCAUUUUGGCCAUUGUAUUGUAGCAGCAGCUGUAGAACUUCAAUUUGACUUGCACAGGAGAAUUCUUCAUUGGAGGGAGA